rnacentral:rRNA from 1 species
ACGUAGGCAGCGAGCGUUGUUCGGAGUUACUGGGCGUAAAGGGCGCGUAGGCGGCAUGACAAGUCACUUGUGAAAUCUCUGGGCUUAACCCAGAACGGCCAAGUGAAACUGUCGCGCUAGAGUGCGGAAGGGGCAAUCGGAAUUCUUGGUGUAGCGGUGAAAUGCGUAGAUAUCAUUUGGAACGCCAAUGGUGAAAACAGGUAGCUGGGAGUGUGCUGACGCUGAGACACGAAAGCCAGGGGAGCAAACGGGA